rnacentral:rRNA from 1 species
UAGCCUUGACAUUGAUAGAAUACACCAGAGAUGGAGUAGUGCCUUUCGGGGAACUUGAAAACAGGUGCUGCACGGCUGUCGUCAGCUCGUGUCGUGAGAUGUUGGGUUAAGUCCCGCAACGAGCGCAACCCUCGUCCUUAGUUGCCAGCAGGUUAAGCUGGGCACUCUAAGGAGACUGCCUUCGUAAGGAGGAGGAAGGUGAGGACGACGUCAAGUCAUCAUGGCCCUUAUGGCUAGGGCUACACACGUGCUACAAUGGGGCGUACAGAGUGUUGCGAUACCGCGAGGUGGAGCUAAUCACUUAAAGCGUCUCUCAGUUCGGAUAGCAGUCUGCAACUCGACUGCUUGAAGCUGGAAUCACUAGUAAUCGUAGAUCAGCAAUGCUACGGUGAAUACGUUCCCGGGUC